GUGGGUAUAGCUCAGUGGUAGAGUGCAUGUUUAGCAUGCACAAGGUCCUGGGUUCAAUCCCCAGUAUCUCUA
rnacentral:tRNA from 1 species